rnacentral:tRNA from 1 species
GGCAAGAUGGCCGAGCGGUUAAGGCGGGAGACUCAAGGGUAAUUAUCCUUACCUGUACAGCAGGCGCUAUUCUUCUGGGGCAACCCGCGCGAGUUCGAAUCUCGCUCUUGUCA